UACGAGGGGGGCAAGGCUUGUUCGGAAUUACUGGGCGUAAAGGGUUCGUAGGUGGCUUACUAAGUCAGACGUGAAAUCCCUCAGCUUAACUGGGGAACUGCGUCUGAUACUGGAAAGCUUGAGUGCAGGAGAGGAACGCGGAAUUCCAGGUGUAGCGGUGAAAUGCGUAGAUAUCUGGAGGAACACCGGUGGCGAAGGCGGCGUUCUGGACUGUAACUGACACUGAUGAACGAAAGCCAGGGGAGCAAACGGG
rnacentral:rRNA from 1 species